GGUGCUGAGGAUUCCAGGGAGAUGGAGGGACAUCAGGGAGCAGACGAGAGGGCACCAAGGGGUGUGGCUCAAGAUCUGACCCCACCCACCCUGCACAUCUGGAAAGCCCACGUUACCGAGGUACCCUCCAGCCUGAGCAAAGGGGGUCGGAGGGGCUCAGAUGGAGUCUCAGGAGCGGCUGCUGCGUCGCCCAGGCCAGCUCACUCAUCCGGGAGGCAUUCGGAUGCUUCAAGGAGCCCGGCUGAGCUGCAGCGGGAGCACUAAGAGGUUUGAGAGGAAUGCCACACCCCCUCUUCAAAGAACUUCACCAAGAAAUAGGUUAUUUGGAAAUGGAACGUUUCACACAGAAGUCGAUACAGUUCCUCAAAGUCCAAGAUCAUUUUUCCACCCAGGAGGGGCACGACCAGCUACCUUCGAUCCAGUGGGAAGUACUUAGGGUUUUAUUAUUAUUAUUAUUGUCUUUCCCUAAGAUCUAGGAUUAUUAUUUGGAGCUUAGUUGGCUAAAAAGGAAAACUAUUAAAAAAAAACAAACAAACCCCGGAAUGAGAAGAGGCUAUUCUGUACAUCUACUGCCACUGUCAUUAGAGACUUAACUCAGGUGACCAAGAAAUAAAAGAAAUCCCUCCCUCCCUCAGCAGGAGGAACGUAAAGAGAAGCUGGAAAGAGAGGAUGCAUCAGGGUGGCUGACUACAAUUUUUAAUCCACCUCAUUAAAGACUUGGAAGCGCUGAUUCUAAAAUAGCAACAUCUUCCCGACAAGGAUUCGCCUUGUGCAUCAAUGCAGCCGGGCCCGUGUUUAUUCUGUGAGACAGCCUGAGGCCCUCGCGGCUUAGGUCCCUGCCGUGUGGUACUCACGGCCCCGUGCAGCAGGCCUGGUUAACAAUCCCAAGCCCCGUCAGGCCCUGGGCAGGCCCUGCUCGUGUCCCUGUUGACACCGUCUCUCUUUCUCCCACUGUUCUUCUCAACACUCAACACUGAAGCCAUCGGUGUCAUGGAAAGUCCUUCCUUCUCUCCUCCCGCCUCCAGCGCCUCCCAAACCAUUGCAUCUCUGGCCCCAAGCAUCACUCAGGCCGUGUCCCCACCAGCCUGGUUGAGUGUUUCCAGCUCAGACUGUAAGGAUGCCAUCUCAUAUGUCCCCUUCCUCAGCCUCACUCCCCCUAGGCCACACCCAGGGUAGUUUUAGGAAGUGAUGUCUGAACAGACCAUUUUCUGGCUCAACACUGUUCAACACUCCCUAAAGGACAAAGCCUCAACUGGAGGCUAAAAUUCUUUAAGGAACGGACAUAGGAAUUGGCAAAAAGAAGGGGGAUUGCUAGGUCAAGCCAAAUGCCAACACUUAAAAAAGGUUCCUUUCCUGUAUAUAACACAAAUAGGAUUUAAUUUAAAGUUAAGCUGUAGUACCUGGGGUUCAGACACGUGGCCUCUGAGAAGAAGUAAGGUUUUCUGAUAUGGAAGCAGGACACACAGGUAUGACUGCAGGAAGUGCCAGGGCGCCUGUCGCUGCUUAAGUGUCCUCAUUCCUCCCCCCUCCCCCACACACUCUGUCUGUAACAGCUCAACACAGGGGUUUUCUGAUGUGAAUAAAUAAAUAUGUCACUGA
rnacentral:lncRNA from 1 species